rnacentral:lncRNA from 1 species
AAACUCCUCUUGUUUUGUGUAAUUUGGUCGUAUCUCUGGUACCAAACUCUCUCCUAAUAAAAUUUCUUUUCUGAUUAAAAAAAAAAAAAAGAGUCCCUCUCUUAAUCAAGUAGACUGGAUGCGGUAAGAGAGAAAUCACUUCCAACUUAUCGAUUUUACUAGCAACAACUAGAUUUAUACUGAAGCUAAAUUGGAUCAGACUCUAGGAUUCACUAGUCUUUUACUCAAGGUGAGUCGGUUUACGAGUCUCAAACUCAAGGUGAACUAGAAUGUCUGUCAAUACGAACGUUGGGAGUUCGAGGGUUUUUUAGGACAGUAACUUAGAUUGAUUUGGAAAUUAGGACAAUAACUUUCGGACUUGUAAAAAUAGGACUCUAAUUCUUUUUAAGAGUAAAAUAGGACACUAAUUAAUAAGUGUUACAUCCGCAGGACAUUUUUCGGCCAAUUAUCGGCCGAGAAAUGUCCUACUUUUACGACGCUUAUUAAUUAGUGUCCUAUUUUUACAAAUUCGAAAGUUUUGUCUUAAUUUUCAAAUCAACAUAAGUUAUUGUCCUAAAAAAUCCCCUGACUCCGAACGUUGGAACAAGCUCGGCAAUAUACUGCUAUUCAACAUUAAUGGCACUUUGCACUAAAUGAAUUGGUGUCGAAUUAAUACAUCGUCUUGCUGCUCAUAUCUAUAUAAUAAAUGCAUACCUGCACCUCGAUAUUAAUCAAUUUAGAUACACUAAAUCUCGGAUAUACUUAACAAAUGGAUUAAUAAAUGUAUAAAUUUUAGAUUUCAGAAAAUCAAAUACAGGUGUUCAUAAGGAAAUGAUUAAAAACCCGUGUGUCAUUUAGAUAAGAUUAUUAUAGUACAGUUAACGAUGGUGAAAUAUUCUUUUACAUUAGAUAUAAUAGCAUUCCAGAUCUCAAUGGCAUUUUUUGUUAUAACAAAAAAAAAUUGUAUAUGUUCCAUACUAUCCUCAAACUUCAAAUUAUUAUUUUUCUUUAUUUUAAAAUUUGUAUUGGCACAUAUCUGUCAAUUAAUCAAAUUCAUAUCAAAACAAUAAUUCGAAUGAUAUAUUAGUUGGCUAGCUAUAAAUUACAAAUUAUUAGUGAUUAGGCAUGUUUUACACAAAUUAUUAGCCCAAACAACAUUUGAUUGUGUGCAAUGCACACACUUACUAAAAGCAGAUGUGAUCAUCUGUCCCACAAUUUAGUGUGUAUCACCGUGUACCAUUCUUAAUUUGUCUAUUUUAUAAUUAUUUGUUGUAAAAAUAAAAAAAAUAUUGUUAUAUUAUGAACUCUAAUUAAAAUUUAUAACUAAAAAUAAAAAUUAAAAAAAAUUAUAUACCCUAACUUUGAAUUAAUUAACCCAAAUAAUCAAUUAUUAAUUCAAAUAAAUAUAAAAAAUAAUUAUAAACUCUAAUUGAAUGAGUGAACCCUUAUUAAUUAGUUUCUUAUUAUAUUAUAAUAAAUUAAAAUUGAAGAAAAUAUAAUUAUAUAUUAUAAUAAAUUAAGAGUGGUACACGGUGGUACACACUAAAUUGUGGGACAGAUCCAUGUGCACUAAAUUAUAGGUACGGAGGUGCGGAUGCGGGGGCGAUACGAUACGAGUACGGGGAUACGGGUUCUAAAAAAUUAUAGGGUGCGAUUCGGCAAGGAUACAUCUAAUUAUUAAAAUUUUAUGAUAUACUAAUUGUUAGAAAUGGAUAUUGGGCCAAUUCCUCCCUUAAAAGGCCUUAUAAGGGAGAGGGUUACCUCACCAUAUAAAGUGGCUCAUGCCACUAUCUCCAAUCCAAUGUGGGACACUUCAAUACUAAUGCUUAUAAAAUAUAUACAAUUUAAAUUUUCUUAAAUUAAUUAUAUGUAAUUUACAUUUUAUUUUACCCAAAAGUUAAGCAUUUUCAAUUAUAUAAGUUAAUUGAGCAACAAUAUAACGAUUCAAAUAUUAUUAGUCCAAUAUAUAAGUCAUAACUGAAAAUAAAAUUAUCAAAAUAACCUUGUGUAGGCCUUUCGUGCACGAGAUACGUGAAUUUCGCCUAUGGAAUUUGCAAAUCCGGUUUAUUUUUAUAAAUUGUUUUAAAAGAUACGCACUGGUGAAUCGGUGCGAAUCCGACAAGAAUUCGAGAAAUCACACCCUAAAAGAAUCCGAUUCGCCGUACAUCUAAUUUUUGAAGAAUCCGUGCAUCAUAGGUGAGAAGAAACACAAGAGAGUAAAAUGGUACAUAAUGUAGAAAGACUUUUCUCCAAAAUAAAUGUUACAGUCUUCUAAUAGUCGAAAGGCGCAUGAAAAUGCGCAGUUAUUCGAAAGAAAGGAAAGGCUUAUUCAGCCACACAAUGACAUGGAAUUCGAAUUGAAAUUGAAAUUCAGACAAAUCCCAAACACGGUGAUGCAGAGAUCAAGCGGUAACACGAGGAAUGAUCUUAAUACCACCGAUGGUAACUUCGUCGCCGUUAAUGUGGGGAACGAUGGUGACGACAAUGAAAUCAUCAUCAGCAAUAUUGAUGUUCUCAUAGAGCUCCCUCAAGUUCAAGCGAAGGUCGUUGGCGCUUUCCGCAGCCCUAACCCUAUGCGGAAUCUGCGUGAAACUGCCGGCGAACUCGGCCCUGGCGAGGUCCUCUGGCUUGUCGUCUUCGUCAUUCACGAACACAUCGAACCUCACGAGCUUCGAACUAUCGGUGAUUAUGUUCUCCAGCACGAGCACUUCGUCGGCUUUGCCUUUGGUUGGUUUGGGCACCAAAACCCUGUGAGUCUUGUUGAGAGUGAGAGGGAACAGAUUGUCUCCACUCUCUGCCCUCUUGGAGAGAUCUUCGAUAUUCACCGGCACCUCCCUCCGCGGUGGCCGGUAGGCUGUCCACGGAGUUUCGCUGUGUUCAUACACGUAUCCCAUUUUGGUGUGGUCCAAGCAGUCGGCCACCUUGACGCGCACGAGGUUCUUCUUCUCGUCGUAGAACAUGAACGCCGCGUUGUUGAAAUCGUCGGGGUUGGGGACGACGAGGUCGUUGAUAUCCUUGGGGAAAACGGAUGGGAUAGUUUUCCAUAUGGUCCACAUUCUGUCGACGUUAGCGUGAUGUGCGUAGAAGAGAGGGUCUCUUCCGGCGGAGUAGAAGUUCCCCAUGUCUUCGCGGAAAUCGUUGGCGGGGUUUCCGGUCCAGACGUGGACGCCGCCGUGUGAGCCGCCCUCCGACAAUCCUCCCUUGGCGCGUGGCGGGGGCAAGUCCCCGGAAACGUAAGGAUCGCCCAUGAAGUCGAUGGCGGAUUCGACAUCACCAAUCAUUUCCUUGUACAUCUGAGUGAGAUUGUUUUCGAUGAUCGUUACAGGAUCGGUGAUCGGGGGGGUGGUUAUGGCAAGAGCAACGAGGGCCGGGGGGCGAUGCGUUGGGUCGCGGUUGACGUCGUAGAGCGGGGAUUCUUCCCUGUCGAACGGCCUGGGCAUCUGCAUACCCCUAGGGUUGUCCCAGUUCCAGUAGGGCAGGGCGAAAUCGGGAUCUCCGAUGAGUUCGCCCAUGAUCCUCUCGAAGAAAUAGAGGUACCACCUGUGGAAGGGGUGGAUCCAGAAUUUGUCAUUAGGAGGGACUAAAUUUGUUGAAGCAUGACGUCUCAAAUUAUUAGCCAAUUUUUUUUAGCAUUCCAUACAGUUCAUUUUUUUGUCGAACUACAUUCGAUUAAUUCAACAACAAGAACAUUGAAAGCAUAUAAAUACUUACCUCUCAAAAAUUGUUUCAUCUUCUAAGAAGAUAAGCUAAUUUUCAUCAUGGCAGUUCAUAAUUUUAAUUUAACUUGAGGAUUGACUCAAAUUCAACACUGAGAAUCAACUAAGAAAGGAAAGUAGACAAAAAUAACAUAAAUUUAACAAACUAACAUAUCAAAUUUAAAUCACUAUAAAAUAUUAAACAGUUAAAACGUGGAUACUAUAAUUAAUAAAACAAUGUAUUUUAUUAUCUCUUGUAUUUCUUAUCUAUACUAAUAGAAAAAGAGUCUAAGACAGUCUAAGGCACAACUUGUGGAUUGCCUAUUUUACCCUUAUUAUAUAUUUAUUAUUAUAUUUACAAAAUAUAAAUCUAUUUUGAUAAAUAUUUAUUUGUCACUCAAAUCUAUAAAGAAUACUUUAUAUCUAUAGCUAUUGAUAAGGCUUAUAAAUAAAUAUAUUCAUCCACAACGUACGUUCUUUCUGCUAGUAUAUAAUAAAAACAAAAACAAAAAACUCAAAAUUUGGGAGGCGGUCGAUCCGCUGCUAACCUGUGGAAAGGGAAGAAGAUCCAUGAGUUGUGAACCUGGAUAUCGAUGCCGGGGUGGUCCACCUGGUCGUAGGGGCCGUUGCAGUAAGCGCAGUGGAUGUUGGCCUGCUGAGUGAAGCCACGGGGAUCGUCGGGGUCCGUCACGUCCAGUUCCUUCAUCUUCUGGAUGGCCAACUCAUACUUGCGUACGUAUUCCGGUGUCAGCCUGUGCGCCGCCGGCCUAACGCGAGGUUUAGUGAACCUCGGAAGCUUGUAGUCGCUCUGAACGUCGGUGUAGGGCGGGCAGCAGUUGACGUCUAGAGAUAUUACCUCUUGGUUUCGAGUGGUGUAGGCACCUUCGGGGUCGCAGGUGCUCAGGUCAGGAGGCAAAAUCGGAAGCGCCUCAGCUUUGCGGAUGGCGCUGCCUGCGCCGUAUAGACCGCCCAGCCCAAGCAGCAUGUUUCUGCGGUCUAUACGGCCGCUGCCACCGCCACCGCUGCUGCAUGACACCUGAAAGCGGCCGUGGCUCCGCCGGCUGCUGAGCUGGGAGGGCUUGCGAAAUGGGGAGUUGGUGGCGGCGGCGAUCGCCGUGAAUGAAGAUUGAAGGGAAGCCAUGUUUGAGUGAUUGAUUGAUGGUCGUUGUGAUUACCUGGGGAGGCAUGUCUUUAUAUAGCAGAUGUGACACGAGUUUUAAGAAAAAUAAAUUAUCCGUUGAAUAAUUAAAUCGCCAUGUUUCUAUAAUUUAUUCCUAAUGGAUCUAGUCAAACUAAUCGUGCAAUAUUUAAUAAACCACGCAGCAUCAUUUCCGAGACUAAUAAAUGACAUUUUGAACCAGCUAAUCAAUUCCAUAUAAUUAACCAUUUGCGAGGCUGGCUGCCCUUCACUAAAUGGUUGUAUGCACUUGUCUUUGGAAAAGCUGUUUGGCCAUAUUAUGGCCAGUCAUAAUAUGGGAAAAUAUUAUAAAAGUCAUGUAUUUAAUUUUUUAUAUUUAAAAUAAAAAUAGGAUUUUAUUAGUUUUAUUUUUUAUUACAUAUUUUAGCUAUUUUUUUUUAUAAUUUUUCUGAAUUUUUUAGAAAAAUAAAAAAUAAAAUUACAAUGUGAACAAAAUUAUAAAACUAAUAAUGGUAGAGCAGCGGAGGGCACAGGUGAAGGGCAUGGCGGCGGUGUACUUAUUUUAGUCAAGUAAUUAUUAUUGCACGAAAAAAUAAUUAUUAAUAUAAAGAAAGAUAAUGUUUCAAAGACAUUAUCUUUCUUCAUGUCUAUUAAUUUUUCAUCACAAUAAUAAUUACUUCGAAUUAUCCGUGUUUUCAAUCGUGCGACCUGCACCCAGCCCGACCCGACCCGUUUCACCCAUAUAGUCAGUCUCACCCAAGUUUUUGCCUAAAGAUAAGUAUUAAUUAGUUGUGUAUGGUGAUAUGAGUCUUGUUUGUAUAAAUUAGUAGGCCUUUAAUAAUGAAUUGGCCCAUCUCAGGUGGUUUAUAUAAUUUACUCGUAUGGAUCUAAAUACAACUAAUCAUGAAAUAUUUAAUAUACCACGGAGCAUCUUUCUGAUAUACUAUUUAUAUAGUAAUUUAUUCCUAAUGGAUCUAAUCUCUGACUAUUUAAUAAUUAACUCGCCAUCGUUUAAAUAAUUUACUCCUUAUGGAUACACUCAAAGUAAUCGUGCAAUAUUUAAUAUACCACGCAGCAUCAUUUCUCAUACAAUAUUUUGGACCAUCUAACCAAUUACAUAUAAUUAAACCUUUUGCCAGGGUGGCUGUCCCUUCCACUAUAUGGUUGCAUGUAUUGAAUUGAAAUUUUAUUGAGGAAAAAAUGAAAAGAAAAACUAGGAAUUCAUUGAUAGCACGAAGACGCUAAUUAAGGGCUGAGCCUCAUCAAAACCUUUCCGAUAAAAAUCCAGUGAAAAAAACCACCAGCAAAGGAAAAAGAGUACCAGUCUAUUACAAUAAAAAAAUGAAGAACAAACUCAAGACAGGAACAACGAGAAGCACGAGAGGAUGAUAAAACAUCUAACCCGAAAAAAAAGACCCAAACCAAAGGAGCCUGACAAAUCCGGAGCCAGUACCAGCGCACCAGGAAACUGAAAAAGUUCUGGAGAAGCCACUUCGACCCAAGCACGCCAACCAUCCAAAAGAAACGACUACCACACCCACACCUAGGCCAAGAAAUAUAUAAUAUUGUGAAUAGUUCCCAUGGGAUCGAAACAGACCACCAAAACAAGAAAAAACCUCUAAGAGCAGACUACUCAUUGCCUGCCUGCCUAGUAUUCGAUGAAAUACCCAAACCAGAAAUCAUAGCAUAAAGCAAAAACCGCCACAGCUGGGGAGCGAAGAGCAGAAGGCCACCAAUAAGAUACAUUAGGAUUGCGCAAAGUCUGACAAAGAAAUCAGAAAACUUACCAGACCACUCUAGUUAAUGUAAUCUAUACAUGUCCGCACAUGAAAUUUGGUCAAGUUAGAUACACUAAUCUCAAAUCUAUUUAAUUAACAAAUUGAUUGAUUGAUAUUUUUUUCUGAGAGAAAUUGAUUGAAUAAUUUUUAGACUUCAAAAACUAAUAGUUAAUUGAUUGUUUAGAUAAGAUUAUUAUUACACUUUUAUAUAGAGAUAAUUAGUACUUGAGAUAUGUGCAAUUUACGCAUUCUUCUCUCGAGACAAAAUAAAUAUUAUUGACCAUUGAGAACUCUGCUACCACUACUCCAGUUCUAUUUAUUAUCAGUGUGCCCUCUCGCGCGCUGCACGGGUCACAACAUAUUUGAUUAUUUAAUUUUAGCUGUUUACGCAUACUUCGCUCGAGACAAAAAUAAAAUAAGAUUUAUUGAUCAUUGAGAACUCAGUACCACACCAUACUCGUGUAUACUAUAAUAUUUAUCAUUGUUUAUGAUUAUUACGUGUCUUCGCCGAUAAAUUUAAUAUUCAUUCCUUUAAUUUUUUUCUAUUGACAUUGGAAACUGUCUUGAUUCUUUUUUGGCCAUAUCAUAUAUUUAAAAAAUUGGGAGGGGAACGUGGAAGUUGAAUCUGAAAUAAGAAUCAAAUGAUACAUGUGUACUUUCAAAGAUAAAACGCAAAAUAUAUCAUUUUUUUGUAAAACAUAUAAAUUCUACUAUUUAUGAUUAUUUUAAAUUUAUAUAAUCUAUAUUUGUAUGUAUAUAUAUUCUCCAUUUGUUCAUGAAAAAGAGUCUCAUUGUAUGCUGAAUACGAGUUUUAAUAAAAUGGUUGUAAGUGUGAAAUAAAUGUAUAAUUUGUAAGAGUCUUUACAUUAGAUUAUAUUUUACUCUCUUCGUCCUAUUGAUAAUGACUCACUUUUCUUUUUCGUCUGUCUCAUUGAUAAUUGCAUGUUCCAAAAAAACUGAAACCAUUUGACCUCACAAAAUGUUGUGGGCUCCACUACUUUUUAUCACUUUUAUCCUUUAAUUACUAUUCUUAUUAAUAACCGUGUCGAACAGUAAUGAACUAUUAUCAAUGGGAGGGAGGGAGUAAUAUUUUAAUUUUGUUUGCUGCCACCACCACCACCACCACCACAAUUUAAAAAAAAAAAUCUACGUGAAUAUAGUAAUUAUUAGAACAAAAAAAUAACUAUAAUAAUAAUAUAUUAAUCCGUUAAUUAUCUAUACUAAUAUAAAAAGUGCAUUUGGCACAAAAUAUAUAUUGCCUGUUAUAUCCCUAUUAUAGUAUUUUAUUUGAAGGACAACUUUGUAAAUUAUAUAUUAUAUAUUUAUAAGAAUAUAUUAUUUCAUUAGAUAUUACACUAAAUAUAUUUGAUAUAUAUCUAGAUCUUAUGCUAUAAUUUUUUUUAUAUUAAUUAAUUAUUAUAUAUUGUGAUUUAAUAGAAUUAUACAACUCUAAUAAUUUAUAAAUGUAAAGUUCAGGGAUUGCAUGCAAUGCACACAUUCUAUGCUAGAAAAAAAAUAGAAUUCACUAAGCCGAUGAUAAAUAACACAUACAACGUACUAUUUCUGCUAGUAAAUUAAAAAUCUAUAUGAUUUUAUCUUCUAUCACUACAUUAAUUAAAAUCUAUCUUCCGUUUCAUAUUAACGGUGGUUUUUCAAUAUUUUUUAUAUUAAUUACUACAUAUUGUGAAUUUAUUACAAUUGUUAACCUCUAACAAUUCAUUAAUAUAAAGUUGAUGGAUUGUGUGUCAUGCACAAACUCUCCUGUACUCAUCUAAAAGACUCUAUAUGUGAGAAGAAACCGCAGGAGAGUAAAAUGGUACAUAACAUAGAAUAGAAAGACUUUCACAAAAUAAAUGUUACAUUCUUCCCGUAGUCGGAAGGAGCAUGAAAAUGCGCGGUUAUUCGCAAGAAAGAAAGGCUCACUCAGCCACACAAAACAUGGAAAUCCUAAACACGGUGAUGCAGAGAUCAAGCGGUAACACGCGGGAUGAUCUUAAUACCACCGAUGGUAACAUCGUCGCCAUUAAUGUGGGGAACGAUAGUGACGACAAUGAAAUCAUCAUCAGCAAUAUUAAUGUUCUCAUAGAGUUCCUUCAGGUUCAAGUGAAGGUCGUUGGAGCUUUCCGUGGCCCUAACCCUGUGCGGAAUCUGCGUGAAGCACCCGGCGUACUCGGCCCUAUCGAGCUUCUGUGGCGUGUCGUCUGCAUCAUUCACGAACACAUCGAACCUCACGAGCUUCAAGCUAUCGCAGAUUAUGUCCUCCAGCACCAGCACUUCGUCGGCUUUGCCUUUGGUUGGUUUGGGCACCACAACCCUAUGAGGCUUAUUGAGAGUGAGAGGGAACACAUUGUCUCCGGUCUCCGCCGUCUUGGCGAGAUCUUCGGUAUUGACCGGUUCCGGCCGCUGAGGUGGCCGGCAGGUCAUCCAUGGUGUAUGGCUAUAUUCAUACUCGUAUCCCAUUUUUGUGUGGUCCAAGCAGUCGGCGACCUUAACGCGCACCAGCUUCCUCUUCUCGUUGUAGAACAUGAAGGAGGCGUUGUUGAAGUCGUCGGGGUUGGGGACGACGAGCUCGUUGAUAUCCUUCGGGAAAACGGAUGGGAUCGUUUUCCAUAUAGUCCACAUUCUGUCGACGUUAGCGUGAUGUGCGUAGAAGAGAGGGUCUCUUCCGGCGGAGUAGAAGUUCCCCAUGUCUUCGCGGAAAUUGUUGGCGGGGUUUCCGGUCCAGACAGCCGCCCUCCGACAAUCCUCCCUUGGAGCGUGGCGGGGGCAAGUCUCCGUCAACGUAAGGCUCGCCCAUGAAGUUGGUAGCGGAUUCGACAUCACCAACCAUUUCCUUGUACAGCUGAUUGAGGUUGUUGGAGAUGAUCUGUACGGGAUCGGUGAUCGGGGGGUUGGUUAGGGCAAGAGAAACGAUGGCCGGGGGCCGAUGCGUCGGGUCGCGGUUGACGUCGUAGAGUGGCGACGCGUCCCUGUCGAACAUCGAGGGCAUCUGCAUGCCCCUAGGGUUGUCCCAGUUCCAGUAGGGCAGGGCGAAAUCGAGAUCUCCGAUGAAUUCGCCCAUGAUUCUCUCGAAGAAAUAGAGGUACCACCUGUGUAGGGAUGAAUCCAGAAUUUGUCGUUAGGGGGGCUAAAUCUAAAAGUAUUUGCAGUGGGGGCUCCCGUCCGCAAGACAAUUUUUUUUAACCAUUCCGUAUAGAUUUAAUUGGCUUAACAUUAGAAAUCAGUCACUUACUAUAAAAAAUAGUUGUUCGCAUUCCAUUAAUUCAACAACAAGUACAUUUAAAGCAUAUACAAACCUACCUCUGUGCAAUUUUUUAAAAUAUUAUUUCGACUUCUAAAAGAAUAAACUAAUUUUCAUUGUUAAUUAAUAGUUCAAAAUUUUAGUUUAUCUUGAAGAUUAACUCAAAUUAAAUAUUCAAUAUUACCUAAUUAAACAAAAAUGAGACAAAAAUAACACAAAUUUUUAACAAACUAACCUAGCAAAUCACUGUAAAAUGUUAAGCAAUUCUUUCUUGUAUUUCUUCUAUAUAUUAAAAACAAAAAAAUUAGGGAGGGGGCUUCAGCCCCCGUGGAUCCGCCACUAACCUGUGGAAGGGGAAGAAGAUCCAUGAGUUGUGAACCUGGAUAUCGAUGCCGGGGUGGUCCACCUGGUCGUAGGGGCCGUUGCAGUAAGCGCAGUGGACGUUGGCCUGCUGAGUGAAGCCGCGGGGAUCGUUGGGGUCCGUCACGUCCAGAUCCUUCAUCAUCUGGAUGGCUUUCUCGUACUUGGCUAUGUAUUCCGGUGUCAGCCUGUGCGCCGCCGGCCUCCUGCGAAGCUUUGUGAACGUCGGAAGCGUGUACUCUUCCUCGUCGUCCGUGUAGGGCGGGCAGCAGUUGGCGUCUAGAGAUAUUAUCUCCCCGUUUCUAGAAGUAUAGGCACCUUUGGGAUCACACUUGCUCAGGUCAGGAGGUGAAAUCGGAACCGCCUCAGCUUUGCGGAUGAGGCCGCUUGCGCCGUAUAGACCACCCAGACCAAGCAGCAUGUUUCUGCGGUCUACACGGCCGCCGCCGCCUCCAUCACUGCUGCACGACACCUCAAAGCGGCGCCUCCGCCUGCUGGCGAGCUGGGAGGUGGUGCGGAGGUUGGGGUUGGUCGUGGUCGCCAUCACCAUGAAUGAAGAUUGAAGGGAAGCCAUGCUUGAUUGAUUGAUGCUUGCAUUGCGCUCGAGGCAUGCAUGUCUAUAUAUAGUAGGCGUGGACACGAGUUUUAAGAAAAAUAAUGAUACUUAAUGGGAUUAUUUUCGAAAAUGAAUUAGGAAGAUGUUUUGGAGACGAAAAUAGAAAAUUGACCUUUUGCCAGGCUGCCCUUUCACUAAAUGGUUGUAUGCACUUAUCUUUUUUUUAUCUAUAAAGAGGUAUUUUCUCCAUUUAAAAAACUUAUCGAGGUAAUUAUGAAGACUAUUCAUUUUUAUCGUUGUAAAGUUAAUUAAAUUAUAAAAAUUAAAGUUGAUAAAGUUCUUAUUAAACAUCAUCGCUCUUCUGUCUUUGGACGACAAAAUUAAUUAUUUCAAAUAGAUAAAGAACUUGAUUUUCCGAUAUGGCUUCUCAUACUAAUUAAAUAAUCUAAUCCUAUAAUGUAUUUCAUAUAAAGUUAUCAAAUUAACAAUAUUCUGUGUGAAUUUUUUUGCCUUGAGUGUGUGUAUAGAGGUAGUCAGGGCCGGCCCUGAGGGUGGGCGGGCAUGGGCGACGGCCCAGGGCCCCAAAAAUUUGAGGGCCCAAAAUUUUUAAUAUAUCCUAUUAAUUAUAGAUCUUAUGUAUACUAACAACAUAGUUCAUCUAUUGAUUUUGGGCCCAACAUAAUUUAUUCUCAAAUUUAGAUCUAUACUUAAUAUAGAGAGUUUUCAAUUUGAAAUCAAUUUCAAAGUAAUUUCAAAAUUGAGUGACUAUUUUGUAGUUAUAAUAUUAAUAAAAUUGAAGGUUUAUGUUUAAACUAUAUAUUUUUAUUUUUAUUUUUAUUUUCAUUUUCAUUUUCUUUAACUUCUUAUUUGUUGUUACAUUUCUUUCCAAAAUUGUGAAAUUCAAUUAAUUAUAAAAUAUUUAAUAUGCAUAUCAAAUUAAAGAUCACAAUAAGAGUUUUAAUAUGAUAUAUUUUAUGAAAAAUAUUUGAUUUAAAAUGUAAAAUUUAUGCAUGUUCAAAUAUUAAAGUUUUAUAAAUUUCUCUCACCUCUCUCAUCUUUACGAAUAAAUAUAUUUUUAAUUCUUUUAAAUUAGUAUUUUAUUUUUAAUUUUUUUAACUUAUUUUUUUGUUUUUGUAUUUCAUAAUAUCAAAUUUUAUAAUUGUGAAUUCUUUUUUUAUUUUUUUUAAUAUUCAAUUCAAAUAUAUAUAAUUAAAAUUAAUUUUUUAUUAUAUUUAUAAGUAUAAUAAUUAAAUUAGUAUUAAUUUUAUAUAAAUAGUAAAAACAAAAAAUAUUUCCCGUGCAUGAGAUGCAAAUGGUAGUUGCACCUCGCCGCCGGUAAUAUAUUUAAGUAUAUAAAUUAAUUAAUAUUAACAAGGCGCCCGGUGAUCACCGGAGGCAUCCUUGCCGCUGGUAUUUCUGCCGCUACUUUGAAAAAUACGGCCGUCGGUAAAUCUGGCCGCAAAUUGUGUACGUUUUUUGGUAGUGGUAAUAUAUUAGGGCCCAAUUUUUUAAUUUCGCCCAGGGCCUCAGUUUUGUCAGGACCGGCCCUGGAGGUAGUUAUAGAAUUUAUCUUUUGUGUUCUCAAAGGAACUUAAUUAAGAUCCAAUGUGAUUGAUACAUUUCGACUAAAUGGAUGGGCAAGAUUCUUUUAACGCCCAAUAUUAAUUCCAUCUCAAAUCGGAUCUUAUAUAAUACUGUAUUUUAUAUAUUCUAUAAUGCAUUUUAUAUAUUACGUGUCUAUUAAAUUAACAUUGAUCUUAGGAGUGAUACAAGUUUAAAAAAAAGCUAGCUGUAUAUUUGGUGAGUAGAGAAGGGAUUUCAGAAAUUAGAAAAAAUGGUGAUAGGUAGUGGAAUUAUUUUAAAAAAUGGACUAAAAAGAUGUUUCAUGAACGAACGAAAAUGGCAAAAUAGGAAGAUGAGUCGUGGUCGGAGGAAAUAUUAUAAUGCAUCGUAUCCUUUUUUGGUUCGUAUAAAGAUUUUUAUUUGAUCCUCAUCGAGAACAUGCAUAUUGCGAAUACUUAAUUUAUUUCAAUAUAUAUAUAUUAAUUUAUUGGGAGCAUAUGCUAAAUAAAUUAAAUUAAUCCGAAUCAAAAGCGCUUAAUUAUCACUACAUUACAUGCAUUAUGACAAAAAGCCUGCGGCUAAAGAUCUUCAGUUUAAGUCUAUUGUCAUAUUGUUUUUAAAAUAUUAUUUAUCCAUUCCGCAUAUGGAUUGGUCAGAUUUAGAUACACAAAUCUCAAAUGUAUUUAAUUAACAAAUUGAUUGAUAAAUUUUAGAAUUCAAAAAUUAAAUCAAUCAAAUACGCGUGUCCACAGUCAAUGGAUUGAAAAUAUGCAGGUAUCUAGAUAAGAUAUAUUAUUAUUAUUAUUACACUGUUAACUAUACUGCAGUACACUUUUAUAUAUACAGACAUAAUUAAAAUAUGCAGGUAUCUAGAUAAUAAGAUUAUUAUUACACUAUUAACUAUACUGCAGUACACUUUUAUAUAGAGAUAAUUACUAGAGAUAUGUGCUAUUACCCAUACUUCGCUCGAGACAGAAAUAAAUACGAUUGACCAUUCAAUUAAACACUACGACACCAUACUCGUGCAUGUACUAACGAUCUUAUUAUAAGUGCACCUUCCCGUGCGAUGCACAGGUCAGUAGAAUUGUAAUCGAUAUUGAUGUGAAUAUCAUCAUAUUCGAUUCGUAUUUGUGAAAAUACUCUAAUAUUUGAUUCAGCAUUCGAUUCGAUCACGAAUACUAAAUACGAUCCCAUAUUCGAUUCGAUGUUAUUUUUGAAUUAUUUGAUACAUUUUUUAAAAUUAAUUAAAUAAUUUUUUUACGAAUAUUCGAUUCGUUUUCCAUCAUAUUCAAUUCAAAACUAUUCGAUUUGAAAUUCUGAAGGAAAAAAUAUGUUAAAUAAUAUUCUAAAAAAUAUAGGAUUAUAUCCAAUAUAUUUACCUAAUAAUUAAACACACAAUAAUAAAGUGUUCAAUUCAUAUUGUUUUAUGUCCCGUGGUUUGUUUCUAGGAUUGUGGUAAUAAAGACUGAUUGGAUCAGUCUAGUACAGUUGUUGUUUGAAUUUGUAAUUUUGUGUAACGGCAUUGUCAUCUUGUUGAGAUUAAUAGGAGUUAAUUUGUUUAAUUAAUUAUUCAUGAGUUUCUUAUAAGAUACCUUCCUUCGUUCCGUAAAAAUAGUCAUAAUUUUUCAUUUUAGAACGUCCAUAAAAAAAUAGUGUUAUUCCAUUUAUAAACAAUUUAGAUCCUUACCUUUGGGAUGAGAUAAAAUGAAAUUCCAUUUUAAAUCAUAAACUAGCUAUAUAGGAAGCAUUUUCAGCUCUUGAAUUCAUCUGUUGUUCGAAUUUCAUAGGAAGCAAGUUUUUUUGACUCAUUAUUUUCACAGCGAAUUCAUCAUGUUACACAUACCCUAAAGUGAUAUAUUUACCCUAUUUGAUAACAUGAUAAGUAUAUUUGAAGCGCUCACUAUUUUAUUUGAACUUUAUUAUCGAGUUUAAACGAGUUUUGAAAUAUUGAAUUAAAUUGAAAUAUCCAUGUUGAUCGUUUAAGAAGCAAAUUUUUGGCAUGGGUUUAUAAAAAAUACAUCCUAGCCUCCAUCCCUAAUAAGUGCGGUGUGAAGGAGUGGGCAAUAGUUCUUUAAAAAUAAUUGAGAGAUGUGUAUAAAGUGGAUAAAAUGGCUUACUAGAGCUGAUUUGUUAGGCCUUACUUUCUCUCUGCCCCACUAAAAUAAGCUCAAUUCUUUUGAGAACAUAGAUUAAUAAACUUUCUUUUGAGAAGAAAAUUAAAGUGGUGGCAAAAGUAAUGUGGUCCAUACCAAUUAAGCAAUUUGAGUACAUUUUUUUUUUCACUCAAAAGGAAAACGAGCCUAUUCUAGCGGGACAUUCCAAAAUAGAAAACGAGCAUAUUCUGCUGGGACGAGGGAAUAAUAAAUUGUUUGUGAGAUGAGUAGUUUGUAAAUAUUGUGUGUGAAAGGUGUAUGUCUUAAAUUGAAAAGACCAUACCUGUAUUGUGAUUGUACGGAAAGGUGGAACUGAGCAUCGCGGCGGCGGCGAGGCAGGAGGCGGCGGUGGUGAGGAGAAUCGAGAGAGAGAGAGAAAGAUGCCAGCAGACAGUGACGGAGGGCAGUGGGCGGCCCUUGGCGGCAGCGGAGACGACAAGGUACUGGCUGUGCCAGAAUUAUUUAGUUGCAUAGGAUCCUUCCAAAUGUAAUUACUGAUUCACUGUUGGAUUAACAAGAAUUAAAUUACUUCAUAAUACAGUAUUCCAACUGUUCGAUAAAAGCCCUUAAUGAAAUCUUCCAUAGAUUACUUUGCAAAGUUCAUAAAAUUACUCAAAAGCAUUGUUGCAUAGUCCGUACAUAGAGAUGGUCGAUUAUCUUAAUUAUGUCUAGAUUUAUUUACGACACACACACACACACAUCACAAAAUCACACAUACUGACUAAUAAGGUUCCCGAAAGCCGGCAUUAUUAGGCGCCAUGGUGGCCGUGAAAUACCAUGAGACGAUAUCAUGGGUGGUGGGUCCGUCUAGUCUGGUGGCGGCGGAGAGCCCUACCUGAACCUGCUAAGGAAGAAAGCCGCUCAAAUCAUACUCAUAGCUGACUUCAAACGUCUUCGAGCCGGCGGUGGCACGGACGGCGAUCUACUUUGUGGAGGCGGCGUAGUUGAUCCUCGCCGUCACCUGCUGCUCGAGUAUGGAGCCGUCGACCUCCGUCGUGUUUCGGGAUGACCUAGACCCGAUGUCGAUGCCGAUGUGGGGAUAGUUCGGAUCCCACGCGCUGUUGACGUAGGUGUCGAACUCGACGGCAAAUACCGAGGGGUUGCUGCCGGAGGAGCCGAAGAUUCCGAGGUUGGCCCCGCUGGAGCCGGUGGGGAUGGUGGAGCGGCGAGAUUGGUGAUGCUGGGUGUGGUGAUGAAGUUUACGGUGGUUUCAAAGUCGACUUGGCCACCGGCUUGGGAGAAUUGGACCGGGUUCGUGUACAAGACCCGGCCGACACUACCGAUCUGCGGUCGCCUUGGUAGGUGAGGUCGGUCGGCUGGUUGUCCCAGAAGUUAUAGGCGAAGGCCGUUGAUCGGGACUUCGCCCUGUUGGUGGCGACGGCGAGAAGAAGGGCGAUGGAGAUUAGGGUUUGGAGAAGGUUGGCCAUGGCUUAGUUGUGCAGUGAAUGAUGUCUACUACUUGCUCCUAUUUAUAAUGAUCGAAAAUAUCUACUACUUACCUACCACAGAUCCACAUCAGGGGCCCUGGAUGGGGUGGUCGACUACAUAAGCCCAAAAAAAUAAGGGCUCGGAAAAUAUAUAGAUCCAUGUAAGUAUUAUAUAUAUGUAUAAAAUAAUUAAAAGCCAACUAAUGAUUGAAUUGAUUAACUUGGCGCAGUGGAAAAAGGACAUUUUUAAUUCCUCUUAAUUACCAAUAUUUUAUUUAGUGACCAAUUUUUUUGUUUAGAUAUAGGGCCCAGCCCCUAUUUUGAUAAAUUAAGUGUAUGUAUUUCAAAUUAACAUUAUUUUAAGUUGUCGAAUUUUUUUGUUAAGAUUUAGGGUCCAGCCCCUAUUUUGUUAAAUUAACUUUAUUUUAAGUGAAUGACAUAAUUAUUAAUAUAUUUAUUAAUUAUUAUGUAAUUUGAUAAAAAAAUGUUUUAAAUAAUUUUAGUUUAUAAUUAAUUUAUUUCUCAAUUAUAAAUAAAUGGCCUAAAUUAAAAAAUUCGCAAAGGGCCUAUGUUCUCUUAGCCCUACCCUUGCACUGUUGCACAUGGUAUAUAUAUCUAUUCUAUGAAUAUAAGUGAUUAUUUUAUAAACCACGUGAAAGCACUUGUUCCCACUAGCACUAUAAAAGCAAUAAAUACAACGGAAAGAAAAUAAAUUACAAUUGAAUACAUUAGGAGAAAAAUUACUUCUAACCUAUGGAAUUACUAACAACGAUACUUAUACCAAAGCUAAAUUGGACCAACUAACUGUACACUCUUGUAUUAUAUCAACCUACCAGACCUUAGUAUUCACGAGUCUCCCACAGUCUAGACUGAUUCACAAUAUAUACCAACAUUGGAACAAGUUCAGUAAUACACUCUAUUUAUAUAUAUUAUUAUAUACACAAAAAUGCAUGGCUGCUGUGGUAUUACGGAAGGAUCGAGAAUUACUCGAUCCUUGGGAAAAGGUUCAAAUGAAACCUUUAUUAUUACUCUCCGUCCCCCAAAUAAUAUCAUAUCCGAUUUGGGAUAUUACCCCACCACUAAUAAUACUUUAUUUAUUCUAACUUCUCAAUCUUUCACCAUUCUCAAUACUAAUUAUAACACAUUUUCAUCACUUUCAAUACUAAUUAUAAUUUCUUUUCUCCACUGCUAAUACGUACACUUAACAAUUUUUCCUUAAAACCAGUGUCGUCCCCUACUAAGAAGUUAUUUGGGGGACGUAGGGAGUAUUUUUUAAUGAUAUGGCAUCCAAAUAUGUUGUGACAAUCCAGUGAGCAAUAUCAACUUUUUGGAGCUGAAAACCGAUGUGAGGUACAACUAAUACACAAUAUGUUGUGGCAAUCCAGUAAUAUACCCUAAGGAUGCGUCAUCUUUUGUUGUAAAUUUAUCAUGGAAAAAUGAGGGAUAAACAAAAUUUCACCCAUUAAAUCCUUCAUUUUUUCCCUCAUUUCUUACAAAAUAGAAUUUGACCCUUACUCAUUUCUCAUUUUCACUGCAAAGGGGGGCUAAUAUUAUCUCUCUAUUUUUGGUAUAAUGAAGAAUUUGAUACGUAAUUACAAUUAAUUAUAAUGAAGUGUGUAUUUUAGUUGCUCAUAUUCUUGGAUUAUUUAUGCUUUAAUGAAACGAUCCACUGCCUUUAACAUUUUGGCAUUUUAAAGUAAACGCCGAAAUGCAACGAUCCACUGCCUUUUAAGUAAACACCCUUGCUAACCCCUGCAUGCGUUUUUUCAUCAAACACUUGGGUUCAUUCUUUUAGGCAUUUUAUCAAACAGUUGUGCUCAGCCUCAUCCUUUUGAUCACAUUCCCAUAUCUCUCCUUAUAUGAAACCGCAUUUUCUAUUUCUCAUAUAUUUCCUAUAUAAUAUUUCCAUCAUUUCUAGCUCAACAAUAAUUCUUCUAGCAAAAUUAUCAUUUCAAAUGCACUCUUUUCCUUUUCUACUUUCUCUUCUGCAUAACAGAAAUACUAAUCCACCAUAAAAUAAUCAUAACUUUUUCUUAAUGAUACGAUGAGGGCACAAAGUUGAGAUGAUAAAAUCAUACAUAUUGGCGAAUGUUGCCGCCGGCUUCCUCUGACUUUUGGAUGCUGAGGGGAGGGGUGGCGGUGAAAUACCAGGAGUUGAUGAUGAAUUUGAUGGUUGUUUCCAUGUCCACCUGCCGCAGAGACCGAGAUACGAUUUUAGAAACAAACGGCAAAAUUACAAUUUCACAUAUAAAAAAUAAAAGACAAUUAAUAAAGCGCAUAAUAUUGGUAAGAUGCUUCCAACCAAUAGGUCGGGAUUGUAUAUCGUGUGAGUGUGUUUUUCAUUUUUUAGUAAUAACAUGUCGUGCUCGGGGCUUUUUUCCGUAUCUGCCCCUGCUUCCCGUCGUCGUGCCCGACUCGUCGGUUUUUGUCAUGCGGAGGUAGGUGGUGGCGUCGGUGAAGUUGGCGUCGCCUUCCAAGCGUAGGCCUUCCGAAUGUGGCGGCUUUUGGUAGAAGUCGUAGGUGAAGGAGACUGCAUCGCCGACCGACACGGUGGCGAGGAGGAGGGCGAUGGAGGAGAGGAGAGGAAUUAAGGUUUGGAGAAGGUUGGCCAAUUUGAUUAAAUGUAUUUGGAUGUAGUGGAUGAUGGUGUAUCGAUCUCUUGCUCCUAUUUAUAGUUGUAAAUAUAUAUUAAUAAUGGUAUCAUUCAAUCAUUAUACUUUAGGCCGGCCGGGCCGGAUCCUCUAUUCCAAAUUCUAUGUCUCAUUGUUCAUAUUCACUAUUAAUUUCACUAUUUCAAUAAUUAAAAAAAUUCAUAGAGUUUGGGGCAGAGGAUCCCGUUUGAAUCCCACAUGGAUCCUCUGUCCCAUAACUUAUUGUGUUCCUUCCCAUUAUUAAUCUCGAUAUUAUAUUUCUACUUUGGAGUUAAUUCAUUAUAAACCCAUGAAAGAUCAGACGAAAUUCAUCCAAUAAACAUUUAUAAAUUUAUAUUUAAAUUUUGUUUCGCGGGUAUCUGAUAGAUAAUAGGUAUUCGUGGGUGGCGAAUUUGGGUAGCAUUUGAUAUUCAUAGAUAGUUUCAUGAUUAAAAUCCAAUAUUCAUUUAGUUCACGGGUAUGGUAUGACAGCCACUAUCUGUGUACGUCAUACCUGAUUGCCAGUAUGACAAAUAUAAAAGUUGUGAGAUGCACAGCAGCUUAAUUAUUCAAAUAGAAAUAUCAUCACAUGUGCAUUGAUAUUUCACAAAAUAAAUACUACUACUAAUAAAUACUCCCUCCGUCCACCAAAGAUAUGCCACUUUACUUUCGGUACGAGUUUUAAUAAAAUGUGAGUGAAGUUGGUAGUGGAGUAAGGGUCCCACUUUAAAUGUGAGUGGAAUGGUAUGGACCUUACUACUAAAAAUGGAUGUGGCAUAUUUUUCGUGGACGAACGAGAAAGAAAAUUGUGGCAUAUCUUUGGUGGACGGAGGGAGUAGUACUCAUUGAUAAUGCAUGCCAACACAUGGUUCUUGCAAGUCAUAUAUAUACCUCAUCAGCAAUAUAGUAAAAUGAUGAUUUGACAACCAGAUUAAGACACCAAUUAUUCUUGUCGGGACACAGACAUAUAUGCAUAUAGAAUUAAUAUUAUUUACUAUUUCGUUUAUACACGUGAAUUAUGCUUUGGAUGCAACAUCGCCACGUCUCUUUCAUUUAUACUUCUCUAGUGUAUUGCGGACAAAAUAGUUAGUGUCUUUAAGAAAUUAAAAAUUUUCAAAUACAUAAGAAAGAAUAAUUAAUCUAAUUGGUGCGCCGGCAACUAAAACUUUUUUCAAUUCACUUUAUAUUUUAUAUACUCCCUCCGUCCACGAUUUAAUGCCCCAUUUUAGUGUGGGCACGGAGACUAAGAAAACUGAAAAAGGUGAUGUGAAUGAAAUAUAAGGGUAGUUGACUAAAGUGAUAAAGAUGCUGUGAGUGGGUUCACUAGUGAUAAAGUAUAGGAAAUAUAGAAUAUAAAAAUGAUAAAGGUGUUUUAAGUUGGGUCCAUUAGUGGCAAAGAGUAAUAAAUAUAGAAAAAGAAGAGUAAAAAAGUACAAAAAGCAUAAUAGGGCUUUAAUUUGUGGACAAAAAAUUAAGAGCAAGUAGGGCUUUAAAUUGUGGACGGAGGGAGUAUUUAACAUUACAAGUCAAUUGCUUGCAGAAUUUGAGCUUGUCUCCCGUGAUGGAGACCUCACCAUGCGGCAACCCGUGCCUGCGCCUGCCUUUUUUCUUCCCGUCUUGCUCUAUCCAGAUAUUAUACGUGAUCCAACUCUUUCCAGAUAUUAUACGUAAAUGAUAAUUUUACUAACAAAAAUUACACUUUUUAUCAAUAACAAAUGAAACUAUGCAUACAAAACAGGAGGUAAAUGAUAUUUUUCUUAAUAACAACUGAUACUUUUUCAAUGCAAAUAAUACUUCGCAAAUGAUAUUUUAAUAUAAAAGUAAAUGAUACUUUGUAUAAAAAUAAAUGUUAUAUUACAAAUGACACUUUUAAUGCAUACCAAUGACACUUUUAAUAACAAAAAUUGAGAAAAAAAAAUUAGAAUUCGGCCUUAAUUAAAAUUUGGACAACAUUUAUUUGGGCAAAGAAGAAAAACACCUGAAUUUUUUUUUUUCCUUUUUUGAGAGAGAAAAACUCAUGAAAUUUCAUGCAAAAGGUAAUGCAUAGCCAACCGGGCUCAAUCAUCUUUCGGCGGUUUUGGUUUGAUUCUUCCAACAUCUAGGGUAGCAUUCACACAAAAUCAACUCGUGUUCAAAAAUCUGAAAUUAAAAUUAACGAUGUGUCUCAGUAUAGAGAUAAGAACAUACCCCUCAAAUGGUUCGAGCCAAGGUCUAAUUCCUUCAGCAGUGUGAUAUUCCAAAUUUGAGUAGGCAUAUAUCCGCCAAAGUUGUUGUCUGACAAGCGAAUACUCUCAAGUUGUGGACAUUGGUACAAACUCGAUGGUAUAUCUCCUUCCAAAUUGUUAAAGGAUAGGUUCACUAGUUUAAGUCUUUGAAGGUUAUUGUACGUGCNUAGACAACAAGAAAUAUCUAUUGUCUAUUCUAUGACAAAAAAAUUAAAAAAUUCUAAUAUAUCUGCAUCCCUGUAUUACAAUACCAAUAUAUAUGAAAAAAUAAAAAUAAUUAAAAAUCAAAUAAUCAAACAAUACUUAUAAACCACUAAUACUCACAAUCAAAUAUUUACACAUCAGUGUAAAUAUUGGGUUCGAGUCCUCUGCGUGUGUUGAUCAAGCGGUAAGGGGUUAAUGCCUAAGGUCAAAGGUCUGGGAUUCGAGUCCCCUGUGGUGUAGCCUUUUAAUUUCGUUAUUUAAUAUUGUAAAUUUAUAAAAAAAAAAAAGUAUAUUUACACAUCAACAAUUGUAUUAUCUUUAAUACGCCUUCAUUCAUCUAAUAAAAAAAAUCUCUAAUAAAAUCUCCAACUAACUCCGGUCAUGAUCAUCUCUUGAAGGCGGAGGAAGGUGGAGUCCGUCGGGAAAUGGGUACUGCCUUGAUAGAUGAGAUCUUUCGGCUGGUCGCCCCAGAAGUCGUAGGUGAAGGACGUCGUUUGGGACAACGCCGUGUUGGAAACGGAGAGGAGGAGGACGAUGGAGGAGAGGAGAGGAGUUAAGGUUUGAAGAAGCUGGUUGGCCAUGGCUUAAUUGAUUUAGAUUUAGAGAUGUGGUGGAUGAUGGUGGUAUCGAUCUCUUGCACCUAUUUAUACUAGUAUGGUUCAUGCCUGUUAAUAAUUGUAUAUAUCAAUCAUCGUGCAUCUAUCCCAAAUUAUAUGUCUUAUUAUUCACUAAUUAGAUGGAUUAAAUCCUGAUUAGUAACCAUAAAAUUAAACUGUCAAUGAGGCCUUGCUCUAGUGGCAAAGCUGUGACACCGAAUAACUUUUCUUUGUGAAAUGUCUUGGGUUCAAUCUCGCCUGCAUGCGGUGAUGUGUGUCCAUUUUAGGUGGUGUGGUAUUCUUGUCUGCGUGCGGUGUUGUAUUGUUUAGUGUUGAGGUCCCACAUGCAGAGCGUUCUUGCCUGUGUACGUGUCACAGCCCAAAACCAUUUAUUUUCUUUACAAAUUUUAUAUAUGAAAAUUAUUUAAUUUUUAAGUUAUAGAGUUUUUGAAAUAUAUAUAGUAUCAAUUUUAUGUUAACUUAGUCGUGUCCCUAAUUAAAAGAAUGACUUUAAAAUAAAACUUAAGCCUUAAAAAUUUAAUCUACAUUCAUAUAUAACUGAAAUUACAUGCAUGUCUAAAUAUUAUUUAUAAUUAUCAAUAACAAGAUUAAUGAUUCUAUAUCUCUAUGUUUAUACAUGUAUUCACGUAUGACAUAGUAUAUAUUAGCUAUUAAGUUAAAAACUAAUAAAAUACUACACUUUUGCAUAGGAUAUAUAUUUAAUUAGUAGUAGGAUAGGACACGUGUAUUAAUUUUAAGGGCAAGUAAUCAAACUUUUGAAUGAUUCAUCAUGCUUAAAAAAAAAAGAGACCUAGAUAGAUGAUUCAUCAGAUUCAAAAACAAGUAUAAAUAGACUUCGGGUUUGAAAUUUUAAUUAAUUUGCAACAACAAUUCAAACUGACUGUAUUAAGGUAAGUAGUUACAGAUUUCAUACACAUAUUAUAUGAUUUCGCACACAUAUUAAGGUAAGUAUAUAUAAAUAUUUUUUAAAAUCAUAUAUUAUAUAAUAAUUAUAUUUAAGUUUUAUAUUAUUCUUUAUAAACUAUUGUUUCAUUCUAUAUAAUUAGGUGUGGCACGACUAGGACGUAACUUUCUAUUGAAUUUCUCAAGUUAAUCUUAGAGUUCAAGUUUCAGGUGUGAGAUUUAUUUAAAUACAUGUCGUACGUGGUUAUUUAUUGUCCAUUUUAAUAAGAUGUGUUUACCAUAUGUGUUAUGACGCAUAUUUUUAGGAUAUCACUAGGUGCCCAUAAAUAGGAUCCAGGACUUCACCGUCCUUGGAUUGCCACAAUGCGAUUUGAGGUUUAUUUUGAGGAUGUCGUUAGGGGCCCGUACAUAGGGUCCAGGACUUUAAUAGUCAUUGGGUUGCCAUAGUGCAAAUAUUGAGGAUAUAUAUGAAGUGACCGUAUGUGUUACCGUUUCAUUAACGUGGACAAUGAUUGCAUGUUUAAGAGACAAUAACCAAUUUUUCAGACAUUUGUGAACAAAAUGAAGCAUGUUUAGAGAUCCUUAAUACAGGUGUACGAAAUGAUGGAUAAAUAAGUUUGUGAAACAAAUUUCACCAUACCUAACCCCACAAUUAUUUGCGGUCGAAUUUCCUCGUCACAGGAAAAAGAGAUGAUGACAAAAGGGAAAAAAUUAAUUAACAAAGUAGAAGAUGCAUGACAACUGUAAAAGAAAAAUAAUGCUACUAAUUAAAUAGUCCAAACUUCAUACGUUUCAUAUCAUAAGUGGCAGUUCUAUUUUUUUUUUUGCGAAUGUGAACAAAAUAACGAAUAAUUUUUAAAGUAAUAGUAAUAAGGAGAUGUGUUUUGACAGAAAACGACAUGAGCGGCCUAAAAAUAAGAGGGAAAAAGAUAAUCAUAUAAAUAUUCAAAAUCAAACGGAUUGGCAUGUAUUCAUCAUUUUUUAUUUUUUAUUUUGAUAAUUUAACAGUACUCCCUCCGUCCGUCAAAAGUAGACCACUUUGGUUGGGCACGGGAUUUAAUAAAAUUAGUGAUGAUUUUGAUGUAGUAGAGAAAGAGUUCCACCACUUUAUGAGAUGUGUGGUUGAGAUUGAAUUUGUUGUGAUUUUUUUGUAAAUAAAGAGUGUUUGUAAGGAUAAAAGAUUAAAGUGGGUGGUGGGACCAUUUCCAUAAAAGGAAAGUGGUCUACUAUUUGCGGACGCCCAAUAUAGUAAAAGUAGUCUACUUUUGGCGGACGGGGAGAGUAUUAAAUAAAUAAAUUUAAAGGUUGCACCCCUUACUGCUUGGCUUUUAGAUUAUGUUAUAAUAAUAAAAUUAACAGCACGUUUACAAUAUAAAAUUAAUUAUGAUAAAUACAAUAUAUUAAUAAUAAAUACUCAAUUACCUCUUAACAUAAUUCGCGCAUCAUGGCUUUUAGCUUAUAUUAUAAAGAUAUAAUAUGUUGUCUAUAAUAAUCGACGGAAGGUAAUAGACAACAUGUUUUAUAUGUUGUCUAUAAUAAUAUAGACAGUAGAUCUAGUGUUAUAGAUAACAAUUAAUACUUGUUGUCUAUAUGAUGAUAGACACCAAAAAUCUCUGUUGUCUAUUCUAUGACAAAAAAAUUUAAAAAAAUUCUAAUAUAUUUACAUCCCUGUAUUACAAUACCAAUAUAUAUGAAAAAAUAAAAAUAAUUAAAAAUCAAAUAAUCAAACAAUACUUAUAAACCACUAAUACUCACAAUCAAAUAUUUACACAUCAACAACUGUAUUAUCUUUAAUUACGCCUUCAUUUAUCUAUUAAAAAAAAUCUCUAAUAAAAUCUCUAACUAACUCCGGUCAUCAUCUCUUGAAGGCUUAGAAAAUGUCCAAAUACAGCGGCACAUGCUCAUUAUUGUGUGAGCGAUGAGAACUUUGCGCUGAACCUAUAAAGUAACUAUACUUAACUGGUAAAGUAAUUGUAUCCCGUGAAUCUAAAGGAAGACUACACACGUUGAUAGAGUUUGAAAGAAAAGAAUAAAGAGAAUGAAAAUCCAAAGAAUUUGCUUCUUCCGUUGAACAAUCCCUACACAACAUUGAAAUAUCAAUGAAAAUAAUGGCUAUCGUAUACUCCCUCCAUCCAUGAAAGAACUUCAUAGGAGGGAGUGACACGGGUUUUAAGAAAAAAUAUUGUUAAGUGUAUUGAGAGUGGAUAAAAGGUAGUUGAGUGUAUUGGGAGUGGUGAAAAUGUGUUAUAGUUAAUAUUGAGAGUUGUGAAAAGUGAAAAGUAAGAGGAUUAUAAGUGGUGGGGUAUAGUCCAAAAAUAGGUAGGAAGUUCUUUUGUGGACGUCCCAAAAAGGAAAGAUAUGAAGUUCUUUCGUGGACGGAGGGAGUAUUAUUUUGCAGCAGCAACCACGUUUGAAAACUCGAUCCCUCUGUUCUUGAAUUUGUGAAAUUUCCGACUGAUUUAUUAGAUUCACCAUUUAUUUCAGUUUAAUUAGUCUAUAUAUAGAUAUUUCUUAUAUUAUUAAAUUGUUAACCUCAUGGUAGAUUUCAAGAUUUGAAAAUUCAACAAAGAGCUUGAGAAUUAUUGAGAUUGGAAGGGGAAGAUGAAACAUAAUUGGGUGAAAUUAGAAACCAAUUAAAGUCACAAGAUUGAACAAAAACAUAACUUAAAAACACAAAAUAAGCAAAUCGUAGAUGCAGUAUCUUGCAAGAAAAAGUUCAUAUUCCCAAGGCUAUGAUGAGCACGAAUUAGGGUGUGUCUGCAUUUUAUCCCUCUAAAUAGAGGAAUAACAAAAUUUUAUUCUUUAAAUGUUUGCUUUCUUAUCACACAUUCUACACAAACACCAUUUUUUCUUCCUUAUUUUCACUUCAAGGAGGANUAAUAUUAUCCCUCCAAUUUUGGUGUGAUAAUAUUAUCUCUUCUUGAAGUGAAAAUAAGGAAGAAAAAAUGGUAUUUGUGUAGGAUGUGGGAUAAGAAAGCAAACAUUUAAAGGUAUAAAUUUUUGUUAUUCCUCAUUUAGAGGAAUAAAAAGCAAACACACAUUAGAGUCUACUUACAAUUUAGGCGCAGGCUGUGCGAGAAUUACUUAGUCGAAUAGGAUCCUAAGUAUUUAUAUUUCUCAUGUUCUUGUGUAUUUUUUUACUGAUUCACUAUUGGAUUAACAAGAAUUAUCUUACUUUAAAUUUCUUGCUUUAAAAAAAAAAAAGAAUUAUCUUACUUCAUGUAUGGUAUGCCAACUGUUCGAUAAAGGUCCUUUUAGAAAUCUUCUAUUGAUUACCUUGCGAAGACCACAAAACUAGACACACCCAAAAGCAUUCUUGCAUAGUUUAUACAUAGAGAUGGCCGAUUGAUGAUCGUCUUAUUUGUAGACUUAACGCGAGCAGACUCGAUCGCUUAGUCCUUAUUGAUUUACGACACACAUGCUCACACACACACAUACACACAUCACAAAAUCACACAAAUUGACGGAUAAUGUUGCCGUUCAGCUCCUUCCUGAACCUCACCGCGGCAUUUUUCUGCACCAUAGUGGCCGUGAAAUACCACGAGACGAUGUCAUGGACGGCGACGUGUUGUCCGGUGGCGGCGGAUAGCCCGACCUGAACCUGCUGAGGAACAAAGUCGCUCAAAUCGUACUCAUAGUUGACAUCAAAUGUCUGCGAGCCGGCGGUGACUUUCACGGAGAUCAUCCUUGUGGCUCCGACGUAGUUGAUCCGCGCAGUCACCUGCUGCCCGAGUAUGGAGUUGUCGACCUUCGUCGUGUUGCUGGAUGCCCUAGAGCCGAAGUCGAUGCCGAUGUGGGGAUAGAGCGGAUCCCACGCGCCGUUGACGUAGGUGUCGAUUUCGACGGCGAAGACCGAGGGGCUGUUGCCGUUGGAGCCAAAGAUUCCGAGGUUGGCUCCGUUGGAGCCAGGGGGGAUGGUGGAACCGACGGGGGCAAUGAAGAAGGCGAGGCCGUCGGCAGGCUCGUUGUCGGCGCCCGGGGUGAUGAUGAAGUUCACAGUGGUUUCGAAGUCGACCUGCCCACCGGACUGCGAGAAUUGGACCGGGUUCGAGUGCAAGACGCGGCCGACUUGUGAGGGCUGUGCGUCUGUGAGGCGGAGGAAGGUGGAGUCCGUCGGGAAAUGGGCGCUGCCUUGAUAGAUGAGAUCUUUCGGCUGGUCGCCCCAGAAGUCGUAGGUGAAGGACGUCGUUUGGGACAACGCCGUGUUGGAAACGGCGAGGAGGAGGGCGAUGGAGGCGAGGAGAGGAGUUAAGGUUUGAACAAGCUGGUUGGCCAUGGCUUAAUUGAUUUAGAUUUAGAUUUAGAGAUGUGGUGGAUGAUGGUGGCCAGGUAUCGAUCUCUUGCACCUAUUUAUACUAGUAUGGUUCAUGCCUGUUAAUAAUUGUAUAUAUCAAUCAAUCAUCGUGCAUCUAUCCCAAAUUAUAUGUCUUAUUAUUCACUAAUUAGAUGGAAUAAAUCCUAAUUAGCAAUCUUAAAAUUACACCGCCAAUGAGGCCUUGCUCUAGUGGUAAAGCUGUGGCACCGAAUAACUUUUCUUUGUGAAAGGUCUUGGGUUCAAUCUCGCCUGCAUGCGGUGAUGUUUGUCCAUUUUAGAUGGUGUGGUAUUCUUGCCUGCGUGCGGUGUUGUAUUAUUUAGUCUUAGGCGUUCUUGCCUGUGUGCAUAUCACUGUGUGACAAUUAAAAGAAUGACUUUAAAAUAAAAGUUAAGCCUUAAAAAUUUAAUCUACAUUCAUAUAUAACUGAAAUUACAUGCAUGUCUAAUUUUUUUAAUAUCAUAACAAGAUAAGAUUUAUUAAAUAAUUCAGAUGCAUAAAUAAAAAGUUAAUCUAUAAACACAGUAUAGAUAUAUUAUCAAUGAUAGGCCGUGUAUAAGUCUUAAUCUGUAAAACUAUAUCAUCCCAGCCUUAAACGACUACCAUUCCUGCUUUCCCAGAGCAACCACACUGUUCCCACCCACAAAGCUUUAAGCAGUACAUGCAUGUCUAAAUAUUAUUUAUAAUUAUCAAUAACAAGAUUAAUGAUUCUAUAUCUCUAUGUUUAUACAUAUAUUCACGUAUGACAUAGUAUAUAUUAGCUAUUAAGUUAAAAACUAAUAAAAUACUACAGUUUUGCAUAGGAUAUAUAUUUAAUUAGUAGUAGGAUAGGACACGUGUAUUAAUUUUAAGGGCAAGUAAUCAAACUUUUGAAUGAUUCAUCAUGCUUAAAAAAAAAAAGAGACCUAGAUAGAUGAUUCAUCAGAUUCAAAAACAAGUAUAAAUAGACUUCGAGUUUGAAAUUUUAAUUAAUUUGCAACAACAAUUCAAACUGACUGUAUUAAGGUAAGUAGUUACAGAUUUCAUACACAUUAUAUGAUUUCGCGCACAUACGUAUGUAUAUAUAAAUAUUUUUUAAAAUCAUAUACUCCCUCCGUCCCCAAAAUAAGUUCCUCUUUGGGGACGGCACGGAUUUUAAGGAAAAGUGGUAAAGUGUAUUAAUAGUGGAGAAAAAUAUGUUAUAAUUAGUAUUGGAAGUUGUGAAAAGGUGAAAAAGUGUUAUAAUUAGUAUUGGGAGUGGUGAAAAAGUGAAAAGUAAGAAUAAAUAAAGUAUUAUUAGUGGUGGGGUAGUUGUCCAAAAAUGGAAAAAAAGAAAGAGGAACUUAUUUGGGGGACAUCCCAAAAUGGAAAAAGAGGAACUUAUUUCAGGGACGGAGGGAGUAUUAUAUAAUAAUUAUAUUUAAGUUUUAUAUUAUUCUUUAUAAACUAUUGUUCCAUUCUAUAUAAUUAGGUGUGGCACGACUAGGACGUAACUUUCGAUUGAAUUUCUCAAGUUAAUUUUCAAGUUCAAGUUUCAGGUGUGAGAUUUAUUUAAAUACAUGUCAUGAUUAUUCAUUGUCCAUUUUAAUAGUAUGUGUUUACCAUAUGUGUUAUGACGCAUAUUUUGAGGACAUCGCUAGGAGCCCAUAAAUAGGGUCCAGGACUUCACCGUCCUUGGAUUGCCACAAUGCGAUUUGAGGUUUAUUUUGAGGAUGUCGUCAGGGGCCCGUAAAUAGGGUCCAGGACUUUAAUAGUCAUUGGGUUGCCACAGUGCGAAUAUUGAAGAUAUAUAUGAAGUGACCGUAUGUGUUACCGUUUCAUUAACGUGGACAAUGAUUGCAUGUUUAAGAGACAAUAACCAAUUUUUCAGACAUUUGUGAACAAAAUGAAGCAUGUUUAGAGAUCCUUAAUAAAGGUGUACGAAAUGAUGGAUAAAUAAGUUUGUGAAACAAAUUUCACCAUACCUAACCCCACAAUUAUUUGCGGUCGAAUUUCCUCGUCACAGGAAAAAGAGAUGAUGACAAAAGGGCAAAAAUUAAUUAACAAAGUAGAAGAUGCAUGACAACUGUAAAAGAAAAAUAAUGCUACUAAUUAAAUAGUCCAAACUUCAUACGUUUCAUAUCAUAAGUGGCAGUUCUAUUUUUUUUUUGCGAAAGUGAACAAAAUAACGAAUAAUUUUUAAAGUAAUAGUAAUAAGGAGAUGUGUUUUGACAGAAAACGACAUGAGCGGCCUAAAAAUAAGAGGGAAAAAGAUAAUCAUAUAAAUAUGGGUUAAUUGCCUCUAAAUACACCACCUUUCCUUGAAUUCUACAAUUGCACAUCACCUUUAAAAUCCGCCCUUAAAUACACCACCUUUCCUUGAGUUCUACAAUUGCACAUCACCUUUAAAUCCGCCCCAAAAUACAUCAUCUUUAUAUUUUUUCUGUUUUUGCACAUGACUAAAAAAUUCUCAAGAAAUAAAUUAAAGUGUUAAUUUAUAAAUUUAAAUAUCUUUUUAGCAGCGAAAACAUAAUAAAAUAAAAUUCUUUAUAAAGUUUAAAAUCAUAUAUAUAUAUAUAUAUAUAUAAGUAUUUUCGUAAAGAAAUAAAUUCUCUAAUAAAUUUUUAGAAAGAACUUGAAUUAAAAAAAUAAACAAGUCAUGACAUUAAGAAAAUAAAAUGAAAUUUUUAUUUUAAUAAAUUUCACACGAAUUCGAUAUAAUUUGGAAUUUAGAGUUACAAUAAUCAGAAGUACCACAUGAAUAAUAUAAUGAGUUUGAAAGAAAUUUUUUUUAAAGAGGUUCGACACGCCCAUUCGACUUUCCACGCGCCUCCAAUGUCAUUUACCUGAAAUAUUAANUAUAUAAGUAUUUUUCGUAAAGAAAUAAAUUCUCUAAUAAAUUUUUAGAAAGAACUUGAUUAAAAAAUAAACAAGACAUGACAUUAAGAAAAUAAAAUGAAACUUUUAUUUUAAUAAAUUUCACACGAAUUCGAUAUAAUUUGGAAUUUAGAGUUACAAUAAUAAAAAGAACCACAUAAAUAAUAUAAUCAGUUUGAAAGAAAUAUAUAUAUAUUUUUUUAAAGAGGUUCGACGCGCCCAUUCGACUCUCCACGCGCUACCAAUGUCAUUACCUGAAAUACUAAAUAUGGGAUAAGCAUACAUAAUAUACUUAGUGUGGGAACAUGCAAUUAUUGUCCACGUUAAUAAAAUAGUAACACAUACGAUCAUAACAUUCAAAACGACACAAUUUUGCCAAUAUGGAAGCCACGUCAUUUAAAGUGGUAACACCCUAAUCUAACUAAAGUGUUAAAUAUAAAUUUAAAGCGGAAAUAUAAUAAAAUAAAGUUCUUUAUAAAAAUAAAUAAAGAAUUUUAUUUUAUUAUAUUUCCGCUGCUAAAAAAGAUAUUUAAAAUUUAUAAAUUAACACUUUAAUUUAUUUCUUGAGGAUUUUUAAGUCAUGUGCAAAAACAGAAAAAAAAUAUAAAGGUGAUGUAUUUUGGGGCGGAUUUAGAAUUCAAGGAAAUGUGGUGUAUUUAGGGGCGGAUUUUAAAGGUGAUGUGCAAUUGUAGAAUUCAAGGAAAGGUGGUGUAUUUAGGGGAAAUUAACCCUAUAAAUAUUCAAAAUCAAACGGAUUGGCAUGUAUUCAUCAUUUUUUAUUUUUUAUUUUGAUAAUUUAACAGUAUUAAAUAAAGAAAUUUAUAGGCUGCGUCCCUUACUGCUUGGCUUUUAGAUUAUGUUGUAAUAAUAAAAUUAAAAGCACGUUUACAAUAUAAAAUUAAUUAUGAUAAAUACAAUAUAUUAAUAAUAAAUACUCAAUUACCUCUUAACAUAAUUCGCGCAUCAUGGCUUUUAGCUUAUAUUAUAAAGAUAUAAUAUGUUGUCUAUAAUAAUCGACGGAAGGUAAUAGACAACAUGUUUUACUUCUUGUCUAUAAUAAUAUAGACAGUAGAUCUAGUGUUAUAGAUAACAAUUAAUACGUGUUGUCUAUAUGAUGAUAGACACCAAAAAUCUCUGUUGUCUAUUCUAUGACAAAAAAAUUUAAAAAAAUUCUAAUAUAUUUACAUCCCUGUAUUACAAUACCAAUAUAUAUGAAAAAAUAAAAAUAAUUAAAAAUCAAAUAAUCAAACAAUACUUAUAAACCACUAAUACUCACAAUCAAAUAUUUACACAUCAACAAUUGUAUUAUCUUUAAUUACGCCUUCAUUUAUCUACUAAAAAAAAUCUCUAAUAAAAUCUCUAACUAACUCCGGUCAUCAUCUCUUGAAGGCUUAGAAAAUGUCCAAAUACAGCGGCACAUGCUCAUUAUUGUGUGAGCGAUGAGAACUUUGCGCUGAACCUAUAAAGUAACUAUACUUAACUGGUAAAGUAAUUGUAUCCCGUGAAUCUAAAGGAAGAAUAAACACGUUGAUAGAGUUUGAAAGAAAAGAAUAAAGAGAAUGAAAAUCCAAAGAAUUUGCUUCUUCCGUUGAACAAUCCCUACACAACGUUGAAAUAUCAAUGAAAACAAUGGCUAUCCUAUACUCCCUCCAUCCAUGAAAGAACUUCCUAGGAGGGAGUGACACGGGUUUUAAGAAAAAAUAUUGUUAAGUGUAUUGAGAGUGGAUAAAAGGUAGUUGAGUGUAUUGGGAGUGGUGAAAAUGUGUUAUAGUUAAUAUUGAGAGUUGUGAAAAGUGAAAAGUAAGAGGAUUAUAAGUGGUGGGGUAUAGUCCAAAAAUAGGUAGGAAGUUCUUUUGUGGACGUCCCAAAAAGGAAAGAUAUGAAGUUCUUUCGUGGACGGAGGGAGUAUUAUUUUGCAGCAGCAACCACGUUUAAAAACUCGAUCCCUCUAUUCUUGAAUUUGUGAAAUUUCCGACUGAUUUAUUAGAUUCACCAUUUAUUUCAGUUUAAUUAGUCUAUAUAUAGAUAUUUCUUAUAUUAUUAAAUUGUUAACCUCAUGGUAGAUUUCAAGAUUUGAAAAUUCAACAAAGAGCUUGAGAAUUAUAGAGAUUGGAAGGGGAAGAUGAAACAUAGUUGGGUGAAAUUAGAAACCAAUUAAAGUCAGGAGAUUGAAGAAAAACAUAACUUAAAAACACAAAAUAAGCAAAUCGUAGAUGCAGUAUCUUGCAAGAAAAAGUUCAUAUUCCCAAGGCUAUGAUGAGCACGAAUUAGGGUGUGUCUGCAUUUUAUCCCUCUAAAUGGAGGAAUAAUAAAAUUUUAUGCCUUUAAAUGUUUGCUUUCUUAUCACACAUUCUAAACAAACACCAUUUUUUCUUCCUUAUUUUCACUUCAAUGAGGGAUAAUAUUAUCCCUCCAAUUUUGGUGUGAUAAUAUUAUCCCUCCUACAAGUGAAAAUAAGGAAGAAAAAAUGGUACUCCCUUCGUCCCAAACGAAAUGUCCUGUUUUCCUUUUUGGGCUGUCCCAAACGAAAUGUCCUGUUUCCUUUUUUGGCAAUACACUCUCUCUCUAUACUUAAUAUUUAAAUAAUUUUCACCAACCCACUUUAUCUACUUUAUACACAUUUCUUAAUCUCCGUGCCGAAAAGAAAUGGGACAUUUCGUUUGGGACGGAGGGAGUAUUUGUGUAGGAUGUGGGAUAAGAAAACAAACAUUUAAAGACAUAAAUUUUUGUUAUUCCUCCAUUUAGAGGGAUAAAAAGCAAACACACCUUAGAGUCUAAUUACAAUUUAGGCGCAGGCUGUGUGAGAAUUACUUAGUCGAAUAGGAUCCUUAGUAUUUAUAUUUCUCAUGUUCUUGUGUAUUUUUUCACUGAUUCACUAUUGGAUUAACAAGAAUUAUCUUACUUUAAAAAAAAAAAAGAAAUGAUCUUACUUCAUGUAUGGUAUGCCAACUGUUCGAUAAAGGUCCUUUUAGAAAUAUUCCAUAGAUUACCUUGCAAAGACCACAAAACUAGACACACCCUGCAUAGUUUAUACAUAGGGAUGGCCGAUUGAUGAUCGUCUUAUUUGUAGACUUAACGAGAGCAGACUCGAUCGCUUAGUCCUUACUGAUUUACGACACACAUGCACACAUACACAGAUACACACAUCACAAAAUCACGCAAAUUGACGGAUAAUGUUGCCGGCCAGCUCCUUCCUGCUCCACGCCACGGCAUUUUUCUGCACCAUGGUGGCCGUGAAAUACCACGAGACGAUGUCAUGGGUGGCGACGUGUUGUCCGGUGGCGGCGGAUAGCCCGACCUGAACCUCCUGAGCAACAAAGUAGCUCAAAUCGUACUCAUAGCUGACAUCAAACGUCUGAUUGCCGGCGGUGACUUUGACGGAGAUCAUCCUUGUGGCUCCGACGUAGUUGAUCCGCGCAGUUACCUGCUGCUUGAGUAUGGAGCUGUCGACCGGCGUCGUCUUGCUGGAUACCCUAGAGCCGAAGUCGAUGCCGAUGUGGGGAUAGAGCGGAUCCCACGCGCCGUUGACGUAGGUGUCGAUUUCAACGGCGAAGACCCCGGGGCUGUUGCCGUUGGAGCCAAAGAUUCCGAGAUUGGCUCCGUCGGAGCCAGGGGGGAUGGUGGAGUCGACGGGGGCAAUGAAGAAGGCGAGGCCGUCGGCAGGCUCGUUGUCGGCGCCGGGGGUGAUGAUGAAGUUCACGGUGGUUUCGAAGUCGACCUGCCCAUUGGACAUCCAGAAUUGGACCGGUUCCGAGUACAUGACGCGGCCGACUUGGGACGGUUGUGCGUCUGUGAGGCGGAGGAAGGUGGAGUCCGUCGGGAAAUGGGCGUUGCCUUGAUAGAUGAGAUCUUUCGGCUGGUCGCCCCAGAAGUCGAAGGUGAACGACGUCGUUUGGGACAACGCCGUGUUGGAAACGGCGAGGAGGAGGGCGAUGGAGGCGAGGAGAGGAGUUAAGUUGGCCAUGGCUUAAUAGAUUUAGAUUUAGAGAUGUGGUGGAUGAUGGUGGUAUCGAUCUGUUGCACCUAUUUAUACUAGUAUGGUUCAUGCCUGAUAAUAAUUGUAUCAAUCAAUCAUCGUGCAUCUAUCCCAAAUUAUAUGUCUUAUUAUUCACUAAUUAGAUGGAAUAAAUCCUAAUUUGCAAUCUUAAAAUUAAACCGCCAAUGAGGCCUUGCUCUAGUAGCAAAGCUGUGGCACCCAAUAACUUUUCUUUGUGAAAGGUCUUGGGUUCAAUCUCGCCUGCAUGCGGUGAUGUUUGCCCACUUUAGGUGGUGUGGUAUUCUCGCCUGCGUGCGGUGUUAUAUUGUUUAGUGUUAAGGUCCCACAUGCAGGGCGUUCUUGCAUGUGUGCGUGUCACAACCCAAAACCAUUUAUUUUCUUUACAAAUUUUAUAUGAAAAUUAUUUGAUUUUUAAGUUAUAGAGUUUUCGAUAUAUAUACAUAUAGUGUCAAUUUUAUGUUAACUUAGUCGUGUCCCUAAUUAAAAGAAUGAAUUUGAAAUAAAAGUUAAGCCUUAAAAAUUUAAUCUACAUUCAUAUAUAACUGAAAUUACAUGCAUGUCUAAAUAUUAUUUAUAAUUAUCAAUAACGGGAUUAAUGAUUCUAUAUCUCUAUGUUUAUACAUAUAUUCACGUAUGACAUAGUAUAUAUUAGCUAUUAAGUUAAAUAAAAUACUACAGUUUUGCAUAGGAUAUAUAUUUAAUUAGUAGUAGGAUAGGACACGUGUAUUAAUUUUAAGGGCAAGUAAUCAAACUUUUGAAUGAUUCAUCAUGCUUAAAAAAAAGAGACCUAGAUAGAUGAUUCAUCAGAUUCAAAAACAAGUAUAAAUAGACUUCGAGUUUGAAAUUUUAAUUAAUUUGCAACAACCAUUCAAACUGACUGUAUUAAGGUAAGUAGUUACAGAUUUCAUACACAUUAUAUGAUUUCGCGCACAUACGUAUGUAUAUAUAAAUAUUUUUUAAAAUCAUAUAUUAUAUAAUAAUUAUAUUUAAGUUUUAUAUUAUUCUUUAUAAACUAUUGUUCCAUUCUAUAUAAUUAGGUGUGGCAUGACUAGGACGUAACUUUCGAUUGAAUUUCUCAAGUUAAUCUUCAAGUUCAAGUUUCAGGUGUGGGAUUUAUUUAAAUACAUGUCGUGGUUAUUUAUUAUCCAUUUUAAUAAUAUGUGUUUACCAUAUGUGUUAUGAUGCAUAUUUUGAGGAUAUCGCUAGGGGCCCAUAAAUAGGGUCCAGGACUUCACCGUCCUUGGAUUGCCACAAUGCAAUUUGAGGUUUAUUUUGAGGAUGUCGUCAGGGAUCCGUAAAUAGGGUCCAGGACUUUAAUAGUCCUUGGGUUGCCACAGUGCGAAUAUAUUGAGGAUAUAUAUGAAGUGACCGUAUGUGUUACCGUUUCAUUAACGUGGACAAUGAUUGCUUGUUCUCACACUGAGUGUACUCUGUAUGCUCAUCCCAUAUUUAACGUGGAAGGUCGAUUGACGAAUCAAAUAUUUUGUAUUUAGCUUUACCUAAAUAUGUUAUUUUGAGUAAAGUAUUUUAAAUAAAAAUUUAUUUCAUAAUUUUCUCAUUAAAUAUUUAUUUAUAUUCAUAGCUUUUCCGCACAAAUAUUUAUUUAAAUUUUAAUUAGAUUUGGGUGUCACUGUGCGGUGAUGUUUUUCCACCGUUUCGGUGGUGGUGAGGCCCCACCUGCGUGCACGUUAUAUACUUGAUUAUAUUCAGAUACCUCUUGUAAUUUUUAAAAAAAUAAUCAUAAAAUUAAACCAAAGCAUAUAAAAUUGAAAUUGGCCAAAAAAAUAUAUAAAAAUAAAUAAAAUUAAAAAUGGGAUAUAAAGUGAGACAUUAAAUGUGGUACACUACUGAAUCUCAAUCCAACACGUGGAUGCUACAUUGUACUUGUCGGAAUAUUAGAACUUCUACAAAAUAUUGCUAUUGGAAACGUGAAAUUUUAUUAUGAGAAAACUUAUACCUGACCCCACAGUCGUGGGCACGUGUUAUGUUGCGCGGAAAUUAAAGUGGUGGGGACCGUAAAUGGUAUUUUAGUCUUUUAAUUUAUUUUAGUAUACAAAAGAGUUAAUUUUAAAGAGGCGCUAAAAAACACAUCACUUUUAAAAAUUGGUAUUUAAAAUCUUGAACCCCUUUUAUUAUUUUAGAAAGAUAUUAAUUAAUUGAUAAAUUAAUAAAUUAUUAAUUGAAACAAUUAUUUUAAGCAAAUUUAAUUAUAAUUACCUAAAAAUUUAAAAAACAUAAAUUCAAUACCAUUCAAAUUCAACAAACUAACUUAAAUUUUUACUUUAAAAAAUCUUCAUCAAUCUUGCAAUCUCGGCUUGGACUAUAAAUGUUCAACAAGAGACAAUAACCAAUUUUUCAGACAUUUGUGAACAAAAUGAAGCAUGUUUAGAGAUCCUUAAUAAAGGUGUACGAAAUGAUGGAUAAAUAAGUUUGUGAAAAUUUCACCAUACCUAACCCCACAAUUAUUUGCGAUCGAAUAUCCUCGUCACAGGAAAAAGAGAUGAUGACAAAAGGGAAAAAAAAAUUAACAAAGUAGAAGAUGCAUGACAACUGUCAAGAUAAAUAAUGUUACUAAUUAAAUAAUCCAAACUUUAUACGUUUCAUAUCAUAAGUGGCAGUUCUAUAUUUUUUGCGAAAGUGAACAAAAUAACGAAUAAUUUUUAAAGUAAUAGUAAAAGGAGAUGUGUUUUGACAGAAAACGACAUGAGCGGCCUAAAAAUAAGAGGGAAAAAGAUAAUCAUAUAAAUAUUCAAAAUCAAACGGAUUGGCAUGUAUUCAUCAUUUUUUAUUUUAAUAAUUUAACAGUAUUAAAUCAAGAAAUUUAAAGACCGCGCCCCUUACUGCUUGGCUUUAAGAUUAUGUUACAAUAAUAAAAUUAACAGCACGUUUACAAUAUAAAAUUAAUUAUGAUAAAUGCAAUAUAUUAAUAAUAAAUACUCAAUUACCUCUUAACAUAAUUCGCGCAUCAUGGCUUUUAGCUUAUGUUAUAAAGAUGGAGUAUAAAAUAAUCAUCACCUGUGCAUGAUAUUUCACAAAAUAAUUAAAUAAUAAAAUAAUCAAUCAUAAUGCCAAGACGUGACUCUUGUCGGUCAUAUCUCAUCAACUUUAUCUAUAUAGUACAAUGAUGAUUAAUUUGAGAACGACGAUUAAGACACCAACUAUUCUUGUGGGGACACAUGCAUAUAUAGAAUUAAUAUUAUAAACUCUCUCGGUCCACGAAAUAACUUACUAUUUUUUCUUUUAAGAACGUGAACAAAAAAAAUUCCCAUCGAUAUUUCGGAACUAUACCCCACUACUUUAAAAUACCUCAUUUUACCCUUUCUUUUUCACAAAAACAACAAAUUACUAAUAAUUUUUCACUAUUCCUAAUAUACUGAACAAUUUUUCUCCACUCUCAAAUUUUGUAGCACCGAAUAAAAUUAAAUACUAGUAUUAUUUUUUGUAGAACUAUAAAUAAAUAUUAUUCUCAAAACAUGUACUAUUACUUACUAUUUUUUUUAAAUGUGGGACGACCAAAAAAGGAAAGAUGAAUUCUAAAAGCUGGGACAGAGGAUAUAUUAUUUUUCUUCUUGGUUCUGAAGUAUGAAUAUUAAUUAACAAUUCUUCGUCCACAUCAAGCUCACCUUCACGUAAUUUUUUCUUGAACAACACCGAAAAAUAUAUAAUCCCAACAUAGCAUGAUCAAUCUCAAUGCACCAAACAUAAAUUAGUUUUAAAAUAAUAAUAAGAUUAACUACUAUAUUGCUGAAUUAUGCAGUAGAAUUAAAAGCGUGAUUUUUUUUUAAUAGAGCAGGUUAAUCUAGGCCUACCUGAACCAUCUGACUAUGCAUGAGUUUGAUUUUUCUUCUUGAUCUUUUUUAAUUUUACCGACAAAGAAGAUUUUCACAAAUGAAAAGAAAACGUUCUAGUAACAUACUACAUGCUUACUUCAGAUUUGCAACCAAGUCUAUUGAGGGUUUUAUUUGCUACAUAUAUAAACACAAGGAUUUGGUUUGAUACAAAUUAAGAAUAUUCAACUUUCAUCGGCUCAAGCACAUAGAAUCUCCCCGAGUAGUUAUAACUGGUCAAUGUUUUUGCCGAUAAAAAGGAAAAGGAAAGAAAAAAGAAAGAAGCAAGACGGAGAAAAAGUUGUAGUAAAUGAUUAUGCGAUGAAAAGAAAAUGGAAAAGAGAAAGAAAGAAGAAAGUUGUAGGAAUUUUGAAGAAUUUGUACUUAUUUAGAAUUGUGGUUAUUGUGGGAUCUUGUAUAAUAAUAAUAAUAAUAAUAAUAAUAAUAAUAAUAAUUAUUGGGCCGUUCCACGAAUCUUGGCACAUUUUCAAAUAAGGUAAUAAUUCAUUCUCUCUCUUACUUUAUCACUUUAAUACUUUAUUAACUACAAACUUAAAACACUAAUAUACAAUUCCUUAAUUCCCGUGUCGAAACCAAACGUGUCAAGAUUCGUUGGAUGGAGGGAGUAAUAAUAAUAAUAAUAAUAAUAGUAAUAAUAAUAAUAAUAAUAAUAAUAAUACAUCAUUGCCCUUUAAAAAGUUUUAAAAUAGGAACAUAAUAUGUAAAUCUAAUUUUGUAAAAGAAGCUCUUCUAUAGUAAUAGUUAUAGAUUUGGUGUGGAGGCAUUUGUUUGAGAAUGGGUAAAACAUACCAUUAACCCUUUGAUAUAUGCACGAGACACUUAUUUGUGGAUAGGACAAGAAUUAUUUUGUUGCAUAGGAUCCCUUCCAAAUGUAAUUACUGAUUCACAAUUGGAUUAACAAGAAUUAACUUACUUCAUAUUCAGUAUUCCAACUGUUCGAUAAAAGUUCUUAAUGAAAUCUUCCAUAGAUUACCCAAAUGCAUUGUUUUGCAUAGUCCGUACAUUGAGAUGGUCGAGUAUCUUAUGUCUAGACUUAACGAGAGCAGACUCGAUCGCUUAGUCCUUAUUUAUUUACGACACACACACAUCUCAAAAUCACACAAAUUGACGAAUAAUGUUGCCAGCCAGCUCCUUCCUGUUCCACGCGCCAGCAUUUGUCUUCACCAUGGUGGCUGUGAAAUACCAUGAGAUAAUAUCAUGUUUGGCGACGUAUGGUUGGUUUAGUCCGCUGGCGGCGGAGAGCCCUACCUGAACCUGCUCAGGAAGAAACUCGCCCAAAUUGUACACAUGGCUGACCUCAAACGUCUUCGAGCCGGCGGUGGCACUGACGGUGAUCAUCUUCGUGGCUCCGACGUAGUUGAUCCGCGCAGUCACCUGCUGUCCGACUAUGGCGUCUCCGACAUUCGUCGUGUUGCUGGAUUCCCUAGAUCCGAGGUCGAUGCCGAUGUGGGGAUAGUUCGGAUCCCACGGGCUGUUGAUGAAGGUGUCGAACUCGACGGCGAAGACCGAGGGGCUAUUGCCGUUGGAGCCGAAAAUUCCGAGGUUGGCCCCAACAGCGCCACUGGGGAUGGUGGAGCCGACGGGGGCAAUGAAGAAAGCGAGGCCGUCAGCGGUUUUGCCAUCGGGGCUGGGUGUGAUGAUGAAGUUAAUGGUGGUUUCAAAGUCGACUUGGCCACCGGAUUGGGAGAACUGGACCGGCUUCGAGUACAAGACCCGGCCGACCUGGUAUGUCUCGAAGUCGGUGAGGCGGAGGAAGGUGGAGUCCGAUGGGAAAUGGGCGUGGCCUUGGUAGGUGAGAUCGGUCGGCUGGUCGCCCCAGAAGUCGUAGGUGAAGGACGUUGUUUGGGACCACACCGUGUUGGCAGCGGCGGCAAGGAGAAGGGCGAUGGAGAUUAGGGUUUGUUGAAGGUUGGCCAUCGCUUAAUUGAUUUGGAUGUGGUGGAUGAUGGUGGUAUCUUUAUCUUGCUUCUAUUUAUAGUAGUAUAACGAGCCCUAGUUAAUUAUCUUUAAAUCAUACUAAAAUAUCAUAAAUUAAAAUUGAAGAAAAAAAAGUUAAAACCUACUCUCGCAGUCCCUCAAAUAACUUCUUAGGAGAAGAGGGGUAGGAGUUUUAAGACGAAGUUAAUGUGCAAAGUAAGGAUAAA